UUAAGCGACUAAGCGUACACGGUGGAUGCCCUGGCAGUCAGAGGCGAUGAAGGACGUGCUAAUCUGCGAUAAGCGUCGGUGAGGUGAUAUGAACCGUUAUAACCGGCGAUUUCCGAAUGGGGAAACCCAGUGUGUUUCGACACACUAUCAUUAACUGAAUCCAUAGGUUAAUGAGGCGAACCGGGGGAACUGAAACAUCUAAGUACCCCGAGGAAAAGAAAUCAACCGAGAUUCCCCCAGUAGCGGCGAGCGAACGGGGAGGAGCCCAGAGCCUGAAUCAGUGUGUGUGUUAGUGGAAGCGUCUGGAAAGGCGCGCGAUACAGGGUGACAGCCCCGUACACAAAAAUGCACAUACUGUGAGCUCGAUGAGUAGGGCGGGACACGUGGUAUCCUGUCUGAAUAUGGGGGGACCAUCCUCCAAGGCUAAAUACUCCUGACUGACCGAUAGUGAACCAGUACCGUGAGGGAAAGGCGAAAAGAACCCCGGCGAGGGGAGUGAAAAAGAACCUGAAACCGUGUACGUACAAGCAGUGGGAGCCUCUUAAUGGGGUGACUGCGUACCUUUUGUAUAAUGGGUCAGCGACUUAUAUUCUGUAGCAAGGUUAACCGAAUAGGGGAGCCGAAGGGAAACCGAGUCUUAACUGGGCGUUAAGUUGCAGGGUAUAGACCCGAAACCCGGUGAUCUAGCCAUGGGCAGGUUGAAGGUUGGGUAACACUAACUGGAGGACCGAACCGACUAAUGUUGAAAAAUUAGCGGAUGACUUGUGGCUGGGGGUGAAAGGCCAAUCAAACCGGGAGAUAGCUGGUUCUCCCCGAAAGCUAUUUAGGUAGCGCCUCGUGAAUUCAUCUCCGGGGGUAGAGCACUGUUUCGGCAAGGGGGUCAUCCCGACUUACCAACCCGAUGCAAACUGCGAAUACCGGAGAAUGUUAUCACGGGAGACACACGGCGGGUGCUAACGUCCGUCGUGAAGAGGGAAACAACCCAGACCGCCAGCUAAGGUCCCAAAGUCAUGGUUAAGUGGGAAACGAUGUGGGAAGGCCCAGACAGCCAGGAUGUUGGCUUAGAAGCAGCCAUCAUUUAAAGAAAGCGUAAUAGCUCACUGGUCGAGUCGGCCUGCGCGGAAGAUGUAACGGGGCUAAACCAUGCACCGAAGCUGCGGCAGCGACGCUUAUGCGUUGUUGGGUAGGGGAGCGUUCUGUAAGCCUGUGAAGGUGGCCUGUGAGGGUUGCUGGAGGUAUCAGAAGUGCGAAUGCUGACAUAAGUAACGAUAAAGCGGGUGAAAAGCCCGCUCGCCGGAAGACCAAGGGUUCCUGUCCAACGUUAAUCGGGGCAGGGUGAGUCGACCCCUAAGGCGAGGCCGAAAGGCGUAGUCGAUGGGAAACAGGUUAAUAUUCCUGUACUUGGUGUUACUGCGAAGGGGGGACGGAGAAGGCUAUGUUGGCCGGGCGACGGUUGUCCCGGUUUAAGCGUGUAGGCUGGUUUUCCAGGCAAAUCCGGAAAAUCAAGGCUGAGGCGUGAUGACGAGGCACUACGGUGCUGAAGCGACAAAUGCCCUGCUUCCAGGAAAAGCCUCUAAGCAUCAGGUAACAUUAAAUCGUACCCCAAACCGACACAGGUGGUCAGGUAGAGAAUACCAAGGCGCUUGAGAGAACUCGGGUGAAGGAACUAGGCAAAAUGGUGCCGUAACUUCGGGAGAAGGCACGCUGAUAUGUAGGUGAAGCGACUUGCUCGUGGAGCUGAAAUCAGUCGAAGAUACCAGCUGGCUGCAACUGUUUAUUAAAAACACAGCACUGUGCAAACACGAAAGUGGACGUAUACGGUGUGACGCCUGCCCGGUGCCGGAAGGUUAAUUGAUGGGGUUAGCGGUAACGCGAAGCUCUUGAUCGAAGCCCCGGUAAACGGCGGCCGUAACUAUAACGGUCCUAAGGUAGCGAAAUUCCUUGUCGGGU
rnacentral:rRNA from 1 species